GAUGAAGAACGUAGCGAAAUGCGAUAAGUAAUGUGAAUUGCAGAAUUCAGUGAAUCAUCGAAUCUUUGAACGCACAUUGCGCCCCUUGGUAUUCCGAGGGGCAUGCCAGUUCGAGCGUCAUUAUAACCCCUCAAGCUCAGCUUGGUGUUGGGGCCUGCUGCACUGGCAGCCCUUAAAAUCAGUGGCGGCGCCAUCUGGCUCUAAGCGUAGUAAUUCUUCUCGCUAUGGAGUCCUGGUGGAUGCUUGCCAUCAACCCCCAAUUUUUCUAUGGUUGACCUCGGAUCAGGUAGGGAUACCCGCUGAACUUAAGCAUAUCAAUAAGCGGAGGA
rnacentral:misc_RNA from 1 species